AUGAACGCUGGCGGCGUGCCUAAUACAUGCAAGUCGAGCGAACAGACGAGGAGCUUGCUCCUCUGACGUUAGCGGCGGACGGGUGAGUAACACGUGGAUAACCUACCUAUAAGACUGGGAUAACUUCGGGAAACCGGAGCUAAUACCGGAUAAUAUAUUGAACCGCAUGGUUCAAUAGUGAAAGACGGUUUUGCUGUCACUUAUAGAUGUAUCCGCGCCGCAUUAGCUAGUUGGUAAGGUAACGGCUUACCAAGGCAACGAUGCGUAGCCGACCUGAGAGGGUGAUCGGCCACACUGGAACUGAGACACGGUCCAGACUCCUAAGGGAGGCAGCAGUAGGGAAUCUUCCGCAAUGGGCGAAAGCCUGACGGAGCAACGCAGCGUGAGUGAUGAAGGUCUUCGGAUCGUAAAACUCUGUUAUUAGGGAAGAACAAAUGUGUAAGUAACUAUGCACGUCUUGACGGUACCUAAUCAGAAAGACACGGCUAACUACGUG
rnacentral:rRNA from 1 species